UUACAAUAUUACUGAAUUUAUGGAUGAAGUUCUGCACCAGAAUUAAAAAGAAAAAGAAAUAAUAACAGAAAGGGGGGGAAAAAAGCACCAACAGAAAGUAAAAGCUCUGUGCAUAAUAGUUUUCAUUUGUCCAGAGGGUUACUUCUACACUUGGGUCCUAAUGAAGACAGG